rnacentral:rRNA from 1 species
AACGAACGCUGGCGGUAGGCCUAACACAUGCAAGUCGAACGCUCCAGCAAUGGAGAGUGGCAGACGGGUGAGUAACGCGUGGGAACCUACCCUUUGGUUCGGAAUAGCCCAGGGAAACUUGGGGUAAUACCGGAUAAGCCCUUCGGGGGAAAGAUUUAUCGCCAAUGGAUGGGCCCGCGUCGGAUUAGCUAGUUGGUGGGGUAACGGCCUACCAAGGCGACGAUCCGUAGCUGGUCUGAGAGGAUGAUCAGCCACACUGGGACUGAGACACGGCCCAGACUCCUACGGGAGGCAGCAGUGGGGAAUAUUGGACAAUGGGCGCAAGCCUGAUCCAGCCAUGCCGCGUGAGUGACGAAGGUCUUCGGAUUGUAAAGCUCUUUUGGCGGGGACGAUAAUGACGGUACCCGCAGAAUAGGCCCCGGCUAACUUCGUGCCAGCCGCCGCGGUAAUAC